GACAGAGGUGCCAAGCGUUAGGCGGAAUCACUGGGCUUAAAGCGUGUGUAGGCGGGUCGUUAAGUACCUUGUGAAAUCCCACGGCUUAACCGUGGAACUGCUCGGUAUACUGGCGAUCUUGAGCCACUUAGGGGCUACCGGAACAAAUGGUGGAGCGGUGAAAUGCGUAGAUAUCAUUUGGAACGCCAAUGGUGAAAACAGGUAGCUGGGAGUGUGCUGACGCUGAGACA
rnacentral:rRNA from 1 species